rnacentral:lncRNA from 1 species
CCACUUGCAAAAAAUCCUGACUUAUCCAUUCGAAUGCCGUUAUUAUUUUCAACCCACUUGCAACCAAAAUAGGAAUCUGAAACUUCUCAUAAUCAAACACCCAAAUGCGCUCAAUAACACCAAAAUACGACAUUAUGACAAAUUUGGGUUUAAGUCCUUCACAUUUGAUAUAUGCAUUGCUUCAGCUACCACGGUGACACCACUAUUCUGCAUAGUACUUUUAUCAUCUUGUUCUUUGGUAUAAAAUGUGUAUCCAUUAAUCGCGUAUGCGCUAU